rnacentral:rRNA from 1 species
GUGGGGAAUAUUGCGCAAUGGGGGAAACCCUGACGCAGCGACGCCGCGUGGAGGAUGAAGGUCUUCGGGUUGUAAACUCCUUUUCUUGGGGAAAAUGAUGAUGGUACCCAAGGAAUAAGCCACGGCUAACUCUGUGCCAGCAGCCGCGGUAAGACAGAGGUGGCAAGCGUUGUUCGGAAUUACUGGGCUUAAAGGGCGUGUAGGCGGUGAGGAAAGUUCGAGGUGGAAUCCUUUGGCUCAACCAGAGAAUUGCCUUGGAUACUUCUUCACUUGAGUGAGCGAGGGGAGAGCGGAAUUCCCGGUGUAGCGGUGAAAUGCGUAGAUAUCGGGAGGAAGGCCUGUGGCGAAGGCGGCUCUCUGGUGCUCAACUGACGCUGAGGCGCGAAAGCGUGGGGAGCAAACAGGAUUAGAUACCCCUGUAGUCC